rnacentral:lncRNA from 1 species
UUUUUUUUUUUUUUUUUUUUUUUUUUUUUGCUGUUGAGUUGUAUGAGGUGUUUGUAUAUUUUAGAGAUUAAGCCCUUGCUGGUUGCAUCUUUUGCAAUUAUUUUCUCCCAUUCUGGAGGUUGUCUUUUUUUGUUUUGUUUUGUUUUUGUCUUUUUGGGGCCACACCAGUGACAUAUGAAGGUUCCCAGGUGCGGCCCUCAAAAGACAAAAUAAAUAAAUUAAUUAAUUAAAUAAAAUAAACUGACAAAACAUCAGCUGGCACUCAGAGCAUCUACUGAAUGCCUGGAUUAGAAUAGAAAGAAAAAGAAUGGUCUCAGUAAUUAAUGAAAAAAAUUAAACUUUGUAAUCUAAUAAAAAAAGAUUAGAAAAAAAUGAAGCCACCCUUAUUUUCUUGCAAACAAAAUUUCAUGUUAUAAUUAGAACACAAGAUAAAAUGUUGCAGACAUGUAGUAUGUAAUUAAAUAGAAAGCACAGACCAUGCUAAUUAUCUGAAUCAUGUAAUAAAAAGCAGAUCAUGUACAUUCAUGAUGUCUCAGGAGUCUUAACUUUUAGUAUUACAUAAAUGUGCUUAGAAUUUCUUACUUUUACACUUUAAAAAUAUUUUUAGAAGAAAAAUUACUAAAUUGUUCCUUUUCUUUUUUUCAGUCCCACAACAUGUAUCACAUUGGCAUUCUUCAAUUCAGUAGCUUCAGGACAACCUGGGGAGCUUGUUAAAUGCCGUGUGUUAAUAGCUGCUUUCCAGGUCAUGUUGCUCAGCAGAGUACAGUAAUACAAUUCCUUGUGCUUAAGAAAGAGAGAAAGGAAUUGAAAUAGAUGCAUCUCAUGUGUGUGUGUGCACGCAUGUGUGUGUAUUUUUAAAUGGAAUGAUAUAGAUUGUAUUUAAAAAGUUAACUGUCAGUAGUUAUUUACCUAGAAACUUGUAAAAAAUACUGCUGCCUAGGUCUCACUGUCCUCCAAUUCCCCUCCCACGUUAUGAAUUAACUGCUUGGAUGUGGAGUCUGAGCAUCAGACUGAGCACUUUUAAAAGCUCCCAAGUCUGUAAAUUAUUGCUACAGGGUAGGGAGGGAAUCAAGUGGAAACCAGAUUUAUCUGACUGCAAUUUAUUUUGCAGAUUUGACUUAAGAGCCAUGUAAAUAUUUUACAUAAGUACAAAAUUAAAUUUGAAAAAGCAAGCCUCAAAACAUAAAGCAAACUAACUGCAUAUUUAAUUGGGAGACUCACACAAAGGACUAUUUUAAGUGACUUGAAUUAGAUAUCCUAGUGGGGUCUGGGGUAUACUCUAAAGAUAACAAGCACUCAAGAAAAUCUUAGUUUUCAAUAAUCAUACUACUAGUCUUAUGAUUCUGACACUUUUAGGUGGGCAUUUUGGGAUAAAUAAAAUAAGUAACUGCGUUAUUGAAUACUGAGGUUUCUGGCAUUAAAUAAAAGAUAAAGGAGUUCCCGUUGUGGCUCAGUGGUUAAUGAAUCUGACUGGGAACCAUGAGGUUGUGGGUUCGAUCCCCGGCCUUGCUCAGUGGGUUAAGGAUCCGGCAUUGCUGUGAGCUGUGGUGUAGGUCACAGACAUGGCUCGGAUCCUGAGUUGCUGUGUCUGUGGCGUAGGCUGGCAGCUACAGCUCCAAUUACCCUUAACCUGGGAACCACCAUAUGCUGCGGUGGCAGCCCAAAAAAAGGAAAAAAAAAAAAAAAAAAAAAAAAAAAAGAUAUACAUUACGUGGAGUAAAAGCAUCAUAGUCCUGAACUUAAACUGGAAAUAUGACUAACCUCUGGAGCAAUGUUGCAGCCCUACCAUGCAGAUUCUGAUGUCUAUGUUUUUUGUCUAAAGAGAAACAGUGUCCCUGGAAAAACUACUAACUUCUGGUCUAAAGCUAAACAUGUAACAAGACUAGAAAAUCUUCUACCAGAAAGAUGAUAAAAGACUGCUAGGAUGAUGUCAAAAGGAAUUGGAAAACCUGAAGAAGAUAAUAUGAGCAACAAAUAAAAUGGCAAUAGACUAAAACAUCAAAUACAGUUAAAUCCUUUAAUUUACACUGAUUUUUUUUUCUUUUUUCUUUUUUUUUUUUGGCUGUACCCUCGGCAUAUAGAAGUUCCCUGGCCAGGGACUGAAUCCACACCAUAGCAGCGAUCCAAGACACUUCAGUGACAAUGCUGCACCACAAGAGAACUCCUACACUAUUUUUUUUUUUUUUUUGGCUUUUUUAGGGCCGUGCUCUUGGCAUAUGGAGGUUCCCAGGCUAGGGGUUGAAUCAGAGCUGGAGCCACUGGCCUACACCACAGCCACAGCAAAACCAGAUCUGAGCCGUGUCUGUGAACUACACCACAGCUCACAGCAAUGCCAAUCCUUACCCACUGAGUGAGGCCAAGGAUUAAACCUGCAUCCUUAUGGAUGCUAGUCAGAUUCAUUUCCACUGAGCCACAAUGGGAACUCCAAGAACUCCUACACUGAUUUUUUAAAGGACUUCAUGUGUCACCUUUGGAGGAUGCUAGAAAAUCAACUUUUAUUUUGAAAGCAGGUAAAUAAAUGGGAAAACUCAAUCAUUUAUUCUGCCUUUCCUGAACAAAUUUCUCUAGAGGGUGACCUAAGAGUUAAUGAGCAGAAGUUUUUCCAGCUUAUGCAUGAAGAAUGAAUGAUAGAAUUAGAACCAUGUCAGUUUUGGAAUUUCCUUGUGGCUCAGCCUGUUAAGGAUCUGGUUUUCUCACUGCUGUGCUACAGGUUCAAUUCCUGGCCCAGGAACAUCUGUAUGCUGUAGGUGCAGCUC